rnacentral:rRNA from 1 species
AUUGAACGCUGGCGGCAGGCCUAACACAUGCAAGUCGAACGAGUGGCGGACGGGUGAGUAAUGUAUGGGAAACUGCCCGAUAGAGGGGGAUAACUACUGGAAACGGUAGCUAAUACCGCAUACAAUCGGAUGAGCCCAUAUGGGAUUAGCUAGUAGGUGGGGUAAAGGCUAACCUAGGCGACGAUCUCUAGCUGGUCUGAGAGGAUGACCAGCCACACUGGAACUGAGACACGGUCCAGACUCCUACGGUAGGCAGCAGUGGGGAAUAUUGCACAAUGGGCGCAAGCCUGAUGCAGCCAUGCCGCGUGUAUGAAGAAGGCCUUCGGGUUGUAAAGUACUUUCAGCGGGGAGGCGUUACCCGCAGAAGAAGCACCGGCUAACUCCGUGCCAGCAGCCGCGGUAAUUC